rnacentral:rRNA from 1 species
CAAGACCGUGAGGUAGAGCAAAACUCAAAAACUUGUCUCAGUUCGGAUUGUAGGCUGAAACUCGCCUACAUGAAGCUGGAGUUGCUAGUAAUCGCGAAUCAGCAUGUCGCGGUGAAUACGUUCCCGGGCCUUGUACACACCGCCCGUCACACCAUGAGAGUUGGCAAUACCCAACGUACGUGAUCUAACCCGCAAGGGAGGAAGCGUCCUAAGGUAGGGUCAGCGAUUGGGGUGAAGUCGUAACAAGGUAGC